GAUGAACGCUGGCGGCGUGCCUAAUACAUGCAAGUCGAGCGAACGGACGAGAAGCUUGCUUCUCUGAUGUUAGCGGCGGACGGGUGAGUAACACGUGGAUAACCUACCUAUAAGACUGGGAUAACUUCGGGAAACCGGAGCUAAUACCGGAUAAUAUUUUGAACCGCAUGGUUCAAAAGUGAAAGACGGUCUCGCUGUCACUUAUAGAUGGAUCCGCGCUGCAUUAGCUAGUUGGUAAGGUAACGGCUUACCAAGGCAACGAUGCAUAGCCGACCUGAGAGGGUGAUCGGCCACACUGGAACUGAGACACGGUCCAGACUCCUACGGGAGGCAGCAGUAGGGAAUCUUCCGCAAUGGGCGAAAGCCUGACGGAGCAACGCCGCGUGAGUGAUGAAGGUCUUCGGAUCGUAAAACUCUGUUAUUAGGGAAGAACAUAUGUGUAAGUAACUGUGCACAUCUUGACGGUACCUAAUCAGAAAGCCACGGCUAACUACGUGCCAGCAGCCGCGGUAAUACGUAGGUGGCAAGCGUUAUCCGGAAUUAUUGGGCGUAAAGCGCGCGUAGGCGGUUUUUUAAGUCUGAUGUGAAAGCCCACGGCUCAACCGUGGAGGGUCAUUGGAAACUGGAAAACUUGAGUGCAGAAGAGGAAAGUGGAAUUCCAUGUGUAGCGGUGAAAUGCGCAGAGAUAUGGAGGAACACCAGUGGCGAAGGCGACUUUCUGGUCUGUAACUGACGCUGAUGUGCGAAAGCGUGGGGAUCAAACAGG
rnacentral:rRNA from 1 species